AGAUUAAAAACAUUGUUAAUGUGUAUUUUAAAAUGUUUGUGAUCUCUUCCUUAGUUAAUUGUGAGCUUUAUAUUUUGUUUGAGACUUGAAAUUUUAUUUACAUAAUUUAAUUUAGAAUCUGAAAUAUCUAAGUCAAGUUUUUUUACCACUUAAAUAAAAGAGAGGUUGCUUUAAAUGUGUAUAAAUUUCGUUCAAAUCGUGAUCAUGGCGAUUUGAAAGCUAUGAAUUUUUAAGAUAAAUAUCUCACAUUCUUUGUUAUGUAACCAGGCUUGUGCUAUGUUUUUGUUUACAUUAGUUCGAUAUACUGGUAAAAGGUGUGUUUUAAGUAUAUUUUAUCUACCUGUCAGUUAGUUAAGAAUACAAUCAAACACUGGCGUUAGUCACCAUC
rnacentral:sRNA from 1 species